UCAAGCUACUAAGGGCAUACGGCGGAUGCCUAGGCGCCAUCAGCCGAUGAAGGACGCGGUAAGCUGCGAAAAGCUACGGGGAACUGCAAGCAAGUAUUGAUCCGUAGAUGUCCGAAUGGGGAAACCCACCUGCCGUCAUGGGCAGGUAUCCGAAAGGAAGGGAACCCGGGGAACUGAAACAUCUAAGUACCCGGAGGAAGAGAAAUCAAACGAGAUGCCCACAGUAGCGGCGAGCGAAGAGGGCAGAGGGCAAACCGAGGAGCUACGGCUCUUCGGGGUUGAGGACUGCAUUUAGUCUUAAUGGUCUAUCCGAACUACCUGGAAAGGUAGGCAACACAGUGUAAAAGCCACGUAGGUUAAAGACCGGAGAGAUGAGCAGUAUCCAGAGUACCACGAGGCACGAGGAAUCUUGUGGGAAGCCGGGGGGACCACCCUCCAACCCUAAACACUGAAUGGCGACCGAUAGCGCAUAGUACCGUGAGGGAAAGGUGAAAAGAACCCCGGGAGGGGAGUGAAAGAGAACCUGAAACCGUAUGUCUACAAGCAGUCGGAGCGAAAGCGACGGCGUGCCUAUUGAAGAAUGAACCAACGAGUUACGUGCACUAGCGAGGUUAAGUGGAAGACACGGAGCCGAAGCGAAAGCGAGUCUUAAGAGGGCGGAUAGUUAGUGUACGUAGACCCGAAACCGCAGUGAUCUACCCAUGUCCAGGUUGAAGCGCAGGUAAAAUUGCGUGGAGGACCGAACCUGUGAGCGUUGAAAAGCUUUAGGAUGAGAUGUGGGUAGAGGUGAAAUUCCAAUCGAACGCGGAGAUAGCUGGUUCUCCCCGAAAUAGCUUUAGGGCUAGCCUCAAGUAGUAAGUAUAGGCGGUAGAGCACUGAUCGGGCUAGGGGCCAUAAAGGUUACCGAACCCUGUCAAACUCCGAAUGGUUAUACUGUAGAGCUUGGGAGUCAGACUACGAGUGAUAAGAUCCGUGGUCAAAAGGGAAACAGCCCAGACCACCAGCUAAGGUCCCCAAUGUCGUACUAAGUGGAAAAGGAUGUGGGGUCUCUAAAACAACCAGGAUGUUGGCUUAGAAGCAGCCACCAUUUAAAGAGUGCGUAAUAGCUCACUGGUCGAGAGACCCUGCGCCGAAGAUUACCGGGGCUAAAGUACGAAACCGAAGCUGUGGCUACGACGUAAGUCGUGGGGUAGGGGAGCGUUCUGUGAGGGCUGAAGUCGUUCUGUAAGGAACGGUGGACUUCACAGAAGUGAGAAUGUUGGUAUGAGUAGCGAAAAGAAUGGUGAGAAUCCAUUCCACCGAAAGCAUAAGGAUUCCUGGGCAACGAUCGUCGUCCCAGGGUAAGUCGGGACCUAAUCCGAGGCAUGGAGCGUAGGAGAUGGACAACUGGCAGAUAUUCCAGUACCGGUAAUGAUUGUUUGAGCGAUGGAGUGACACAGGAGGGCAGGCAGGCAGGAGAUUGGUUGUUCCUGUACAAGCGUGUAGGAUGGGACGUAGGCAAAUCCGCGUCCUGUGAGUCUGAGGCGUGAUGUGGAGGUUCCGGAAACGGAACUGAAGCUGCUGACCCCACACUGUCGAGAAAAGCUUCUAGUUAGAGAAUUACCGCCCGUACCGUAAACCGACACAGGUAUGCGGGGAGAGAAUCCUAAGGUGCGCGGGAGAACCCUCGUUAAGGAACUCGGCAAAAUGUACCCGUAACUUCGGGAUAAGGGUAGCCGCUGUUGUGAAGUCUGAACAGAUGGAGCAUGAGGCGGUCGCAGAGAAGAGGCCCAAGCGACUGUUUACCACAAACACAGGUGCCUGCUAAAGAGAAAUCUGACGUAUAGGUGCUGACACCUGCCCAGUGCCGGAAGGUUAAGGAAGGAUGUCCGGAGCAAUCCAAAGCAUUCGACCGAAGCCCCGGUGAACGGCGGCCGUAACUAUAACGGUCCUAAGGUAGCGAAAUUCCUUGUCGGGUAAG
rnacentral:rRNA from 1 species